GGGGGCGGGGGGCUGGACGGCGGUACACUAGGAGGAAGUUUCUUAGCAGGCAUGGAACAAGUUCCUCUCCUUCCUGGUGAAGUUCUAUUACUCUUUUACCAUGGAAAGGAUAUCCAUCAAUGCAAAGUUUUUUAUCUUUACAUUUUGCUAAUCUCUUAUAUGUGAAAAUUGCUUAUCCCUUUGCCUUAUGGCUUGGGAUUAG
rnacentral:lncRNA from 1 species